GCUCAGCCUCUAGCCUCACCCCACAGCAAUCAACCCACUUAUCUCUUUAUCCAACCUUAAAACAUUCUUACAAUUUAGUAAAGGCGAUAAAAAAAUUUUUUAGCGCAAUAAAAAAGUACCGUAAGGGAAAGAUGAAAUAAAACUGAAAUAAUUUUAAGCAUAAAAAAGUAGAGCUUUCCCCUCGUACCUUUUGCAUCAUGAUUUAACUAGUAUAUUUAGGCAAAAAGAUUUUUAGUCUAAACCCCCGAAUCUAGGCGAGCUAUUUUAAGACAGCUUUACGAGCCCACCCGUCUCUGUUGCAAAAGAGUGGGAAGAUCUUACUAUAGCGGUGACAGACCUAACGAGCCUAGUGAUAGCUGGUUGCUUAAUAAAAGGAUUUUAGUCCAACUUAAAGUUAUUUAUAAUACUUACAAAACUCAACUUUAAAGUCAUUCAAAUAAGGUUCAGCCUAUUUGAAACAGGAUACAACCUCUCCCACUGGGUUCUCACAUUUCAUUAAAAAUAAGUAGGCUUAAAAGCAGCCACCUUGAAUAAAAGCGUCAUAGCUUCCUCUUUCCAUAAUUUAAUUCCUAAAGAUUUCCCCAACCCCUCAUCUCUAAUAAGCAACUCUAUACCACUAUAGAAGAUUUUAUGUUAAAACUAGUAACAAGAAGAAGCCCUUCUCUUAAAUGCGUAUGUAAAUCAGCACGACAACCCACUGAUAAUUAACGCCCUUAAAUUCAAAGUAGUAACUCUUCAAGAAAAACUUUCUACUAAUAACGUUAACCUAACACAAGAGCACUCUAAGAAAGAUUUAAAGAUAAAGAAGGAACUCGGCAAACAUUAGCUUCGCCUGUUUACCAAAAACAUCGCCUCCUGCUCAAUUAUAAGAGGUCAAGCCUGCCCAGUGACAUUGUUCAACGGCCGCGGUAUCCUAACCGUGCGAAGGUAGCGUAAUCACUUGUUCUUUAAAUGAGGACUAGUAUGAAUGGCCCCACGAAAGCUAUACUGUCUCCUUUAUCCAAUCAGUAAAACUAAUCUCCCCGUGAAGAAGCGGGGAUACACAUAUAAGACGAGAAGACCCUAUGGAGCUUCAGAUAUUCUAGACAUUUGAACAUAAUAUUACACUUUCCGAAAAAUUCUUAAAACAUAUCAUUUUGUCCUAAAUCUUGGGUUGGGGUGACCACGGAGAAAAAACCAACCUCCACGUGGAAUAGAAGUUCUUCUUCUAAGCGAAAAAUCACACCUUUACGCAUCAAUAUAUUGACCUAAAUUGACCCAAUUAUUUGAUCAACGAACCAAGUUACCCUAGGGAUAACAGCGCAAUCCGCCUUAAGAGCUCUUAUCGACAGGCGGGUUUACGACCUCGAUGUUGGAUCAGGGUAUCCCAGUGGUGCAGCAGCUACUAACGGUUCGUUUGUUCAACGAUUAAAACCCUACGUGAUCUGAGUUCAGACCGGAGUAAUCCAGGUCAGUUUCUAUCUAUAAAGAGUUUUUUCUAGUACGAAAGGAUCGAAAAAACAUGGCCAAUGUUCAAUACACACCAUCUAUUCUCAACUUAUGCUAAAAACUUAAUUACUAAGAGCCUAUCACCUACCUUAAGAUCAAAGAUUCUA
rnacentral:rRNA from 1 species